CUGAGUCAGCGUGACUUUCAAAGGGCUGACCUGAAGGUAGCUGUAUCUAUCUCCCUGGAAAACUGGUGCCUCAGACCUGGGGGCCUGCUGCUUCCAGCGCACGGUGUGUGCACAGGGCGAAGGGUCUGUGAGGAGGGUAGGAACGGGCCAACAGUCAGUGUUCUCCCCAAGCUGAACCAAGCCACUGAACGUCGGUUGAGCUCCUCCUGUAUUCCAGGCCCCGUGUUACACACCAGCCUGCAGAGGUGAACAACAUGGAUGUCUGCCCUGGUGGAACUGGGGUAGUAAGUGAGCAGCGGUUAAAUAAAUCAGCUACUAACAAGGAAUCUGAACCGAGGAGGGCCUCUCGUCCAGCAGUGCCUCUUUGCCGCAGGCUGUGGACACCCAAGCAGAGGUGAGGUGCGGGUGACAUGGGUCAGCCUGGAGCGGGCCCCACACAGCAGCGCAAACCGGCAGCAACCACAGAAGCGGUGUUGCCUGUGGGCCCAAAGCAGCGAUGGUGCUGACUGCUCCUGAGGGGGCAGCCACUCCCAGAGGCUGGUCAGCACCAGUGUUUCAGAGGGUCAUGAGCACAGGAUGGAGAAUUCUGGGUGUCUCCACCAUCACGCAGGACGAACGUCACAGAUGAACCACACGCAGCUCGACUCUGCGUCCACCGUGGAAAUCGUCACGAGACAGAGGCGAAAACGUUAAUGGAGAAUCAACACUGAAAUCAAGUCGUUCAAACCCCAAUGCACAGGGGCAUCUGAUCACACCGAAAUCUGUGUCUGACGAGCACAGAGAACUGGUGCAUAUGAAGUCAGAGAGCAGGACCUUAUUAGGAGAUGAGAAAUAGAAACAACGAUUUCUUGAAGGCAUUGCUGAAAUGCUGAAAAACAACAUUACAAAGAAAGAGAUUUUAUCCAAGAAAUUUUCCGACAUUUAAGCUGCUGUGGUGUUUGUAUAAAUAAAGAAUUACUUCGACUCACUCCCAGAGCUCACAUUUUCAGUAAUAUGCUCACAUAUCUUCCAGGAGUCGUUGCUAAUGAAAGUCAAGCUGCAUUUAUGAAUAUGAAUUAUUCACACCGGCCUGUUGAUACACAAGAGCUAAUUUUCAAGAUACUGUGGGUAAACACCAUAAAGUUGUAUUAAAUAUUCAUAUAAUCACUGUGAUAAUUAAUCCAUAAAGCAAUUAUAAUUAAAAUGAAAGUAUCUUGUCUUAUAAAUAACCAAGUAAAAUAGAACUUUAAAAGAUAAAAGGGCAUCACUCCACGUUUAUAUCUGUUAGCCCACUGUGAAGGGUUCAAUGAACCGUCUCUACCGUAUUCAUGUGUCCAGUCAGUGUCACUGAGCCACGGGACACGCUCUGAGAAAUGUGUCGUUCGGUGAUGCCGUCCUUGUGCUCACGCAAUCCUAGGCUGUCUAGCCUGCUGCUCGGCCAGGCUCCACGGUGCUGAUCUUACGGGACCAGCAUCGUACAUGCGGUCCCUCGCUGACCAAGACAUCAUGAUGCAGCACAUGAGUAUCAUUGCUUUUCAAGAAGCAAAGUCAGAGUGUGUUUCUCCAGGAGAGGAGACUUUAUGAGAAGAAAAUGAGGGCCAGUCCUGAGGUAGAGGAGAAGCCUUUCCACAAUUAAGCAGCUGAACGGUCACUGUCCAGAUGCUGCCAGUUUCAUUUUUAUUGGACGCUGCGUGAGCGUAAUUGUGAGUCCAAGACAAAGCAGAGACCGCAAAAGAGAAAUACGGCAUGGACAUCAUAACUUCCCAUCAGUGCGUUUGCAAACCAUUCCUCUCCAUGUUUGAAAUGCACUCGUGCAGAAGCUGAGCAGGUCCCAGGGUCGCGCCCGGCUGCCCUGGAGGAAGGAGGGUAGAGGACGACGGAGGUAAAUCGUUAGAUUAAUCCAGCGAGAAGGACGUGGGACGUGGAGCAACAGAGCGCUCGAGUCUGGUUAAUUCCAAGAUGUCCUACUGACUCUUCGUGUUUCCUGGGUUCCCUGUAAUGUUGAAGUGUCCAUGUUUCCAAAAACCCAUGUCUUCAAACAGUGACUAUGGAAGGAACUUAAAGUGAACCGUGCAUUUGAACUUUCCAAAAGAGUCUCAGAGAGCAGAGGCGGGCCCUCGUCGAGGCGAGACAGGCAGAUCUGUGAAUUAACUGUUCAGAGAUUGAAGUGGGUACCGAGGAUCCCUGGACUUCCCCCAUUUCUUCCUCCUUAGUUGGCACAUCGUUCACCAAGCUGCUGGAGCCAGAAACCUGAACUCAUGCUCUGCCUCUCCUUCCCUCCCCCACAACGCCUGGGACCCCAUGUUUGCUGGCAGGCCCAUUUCCCAGCUCUCUCCAGGGGUCCUGCUGCAUCCACGGACACGGUUCUGAGUCCCAACCAGGGACAUGACUGAGCGUCCCUGACCGGGAGGCCAUCUCAAGACUUUAUCUCGGCCUGCUUCAAACUGCCUCCCCAUAUGCAGCCAGAGCCACCUCAGAGAACCAACACCUGCUCCCACGGCUGAGCGGUGAUCCCCCUUUCCCCCGCCUCCCGUCUCCUGAGACCCUCAGAGGUGAGCCCCUUUCCCCGCCUCCCGUCUCCUGAGACCCUCAGAGGUGAGCCCCUUUCCCUGCCUCCUGUCUCCUGAGACGCUCAGUGGUAUACAGGUUGUUAAACAUCUCUCCUGUUGGAAAGAUGACGGUGGAGUGGGAGAGCGGGAGAGAAAGAGAGAGACGGAGAGAUGGAGGGAGAGGGGAGUGACAGGCAGAGAGAUGGAGGGACUGCGAAAGAGACAGACACAGAGGGCAGGAGCCGAGAGGCUGUGACAUGUGGGAGUCAGAAAUGGAACGCAGUGAUGACAGGUGACAUUUCUUGAGCAACUGUUGUGCACCAAAUACUGCCAGGCACCCGCUUCCAUACUGCUCAAUUCUCUGCACAAUCCACUGAAACGCAUCUUGGAAGCGGUGUGGUUGAGGCUGAAUAAAGAGCGUUGACUCUGGGUCCACGUUCCGGCUGCUGUGAUCUGCACUGUGGGCUCACGGACACCCUGUGGAGACCUCACCUACUGAAUCAAGUACGGUUUGUCAAGGCCUAACCCAAAGGAACAGGUGCUGCCGAAGUUUGCACCCUUGUCAGAGUUCUUCUCCUUUAGAGAUGGAGUUGGACUCACAGUCGUCUCUGGAACGUGACGAGCAUCCGGCGGGAAGUGGCUGUGUGGGCUGAGAACUAACUACCCACACCCUGGGAGCCGGGUACGUCUCUCACGGCUGCUUCGGGAGGUGAUUGUUGGGGGUGCUUGACUUCACGAUCCCAUUUCCUACGUGACAACAAAACGAG
ensembl:lncRNA